AAGUCAUGGUUAAGUGGGAAACGAAGUGGGAAGGCUCAGACAGCCAGGAUGGUUGGCUUAGAAGCAGCCAUCAUUUAAAGAAAGCGUAAUAGCUCACUGGUCGAGUCGGCCUGCGCGGAAGAUGUAACGGGGCUAAACCAUGCACCGAAGCUGCGGCAGCAACAUUUCGAUGUUGUUGGGUAGGGGAGCGUUCUGUAAGCCUGCGAAGGUGUGCUGUGAGGCAUGCUGGAGGUAUCAGAAGUGCGAAUGCUGACAUAAGUAACGAUAAAGCGGGUGAAAAACCCGCUCGCCGGAAGACCAAGGGUUCCUGUCCAACGUUAAUCGGGGCAGGGUGAGUCGACCCCUAAGGCGAGGCCGAAAGGCGUAGUCGAUGGGAAACGGGUUAAUAUUCCCGUACUCGGUGUUACUGCGAAGGGGGGACGGAGAAGGCUAGACCGGCCGGGCGACGGUUGUCCCGGUUCAAGCGUGUAGGUGGGAAGAAUUGGUAAAUCCGUUCUUCUGUGAACACUGAGGCGUGAUAACGAGGCACUACGGUGCUGAAGUGGUUGAUGCCCUGCUUCCAGGAAAAGCCUCUAAGCAUCAGGUAACAGUGAAUCGUACCCCAAACCGACACAGGUGGUCAGGUAGAGAAUACUCAGGCGCUUGAGAGAACUCGGGUGAAGGAACUAGGCAAAAUGGUGCCGUAACUUCGGGAGAAGGCACGCUGGCAUUAGGUGAAGGGACAUGCGCCCGGAGCCGAAGCCAGUCGCAGAUACCAGCUGGCUGCAACUGUUUAAUAAAAACACAGCACUGUGCAAACACGAAAGUGGACGUAUACGGUGUGACGCCUGCCCGGUGCUGGAAGGUUAAUUGAUGGGGUUAGCGGCAACGCGAAGCUCUUGAUCGAAGCCCCAGUAAACGGCGGCCGUAACUAUAACGGUCCUAAGGUAGCGAAAUUCCUUGUCGGGUAAGUUCCGACCUGCACGAAUGGCGUAAUGAUGGCCAGGCUGUCUCCACCCGAGACUCAGUGAAAUUGAACUCGCUGUGAAGAUGCAGUGUACCCGCGGCAAGACGGAAAGACCCCGUGAACCUUUACUAUAGCUUGACACUGAACCUUGAACCUUGAUGUGUAGGAUAGGUGGGAGGCUGUGAAGUGUGGACGCCAGUCUGCACGGAGCCAUCCUUGAAAUACCACCCUUGAAUGUUUGAUGUUCUAACGCAGGCCCGUCAUCCGGGUCGCGGACAGUGUCUGGUGGGUAGUUUGACUGGGGCGGUCUCCUCCCAAAGCGUAACGGAGGAGCACGAAGGUUAGCUAAUCACGGUCGGACAUCGUGAGGUUAGUGCAAUGGCAUAAGCUAGCUUGACUGCGAGAGUGACAGCUCGAGCAGGUACGAAAGUAGGUCAUAGUGAUCCGGUGGUUCUGAAUGGAAGGGCCAUCGCUCAACGGAUAAAAGGUACUCCGGGGAUAACAGGCUGAUACCGCCCAAGAGUUCAUAUCGACGGCGGUGUUUGGCACCUCGAUGUCGGCUCAUCACAUCCUGGGGCUGAAGUAGGUCCCAAGGGUACGGCUGUUCGCCGUUUAAAGUGGUACGCGAGCUGGGUUUAGAACGUCGUGAGACAGUUCGGUCCCUAUCUGCCGUGGGCGUUGGAAGAUUGAAAGGGGCUGCUCCUAGUACGAGAGGACCGGAGUGGACGCACCACUGGUGUUCGGGUUGUCAUGCCAAUGGCACUGCCCGGUAGCUAAGUGCGGAAGAGAUAACCGCUGAAAGCAUCUAAGCGGGAAACUUGCCUUGAGAUGAGUCUUCCCUUGUCCCUUGAGGAUACUGAAGGAACGUUCAAGACGAGGACGUGGAUAGGCUGGGUGUGUAAGCGUAGCGAUACGUUGAGCUAACCAGUACUAAUGAACCGUGAGGCUUAACCU
rnacentral:rRNA from 1 species